CCUACGGGUGGCUGCAGUGGGGAAUAUUGGGCAAUGGGCGCAAGCCUGACCCAGCAACGCCGCGUGAAGGAAGAAGGCUUUCGGGUUGUAAACUUCUUUUGACAGGGAAGAGCAGAAGACGGUACCAAAGGAAUAAGCCCCGGCUAACUACGUGCCAGCAGCCGAGGUAAUACGUAGGGGGCAAGCGUUGUUCGGAAUGAAUGGGCGUAAGGGGUGGGUAGGUGGUUUGAUAAGUUAGAUGUGUAAUACCCAGGGCUUAACUCGGGUGCUGCAUCUAAAACUGUUAGACUUGAGUACUGGAGAGGAUAGUGGAAUUCCUAGUGUAGCGGUGGAAUGCGUAGAUAUUAGGAGGAACAUCAGGGGCGAAGGCGACUAUCUGGACAGCAACUGACACUGAGGCACGAAAGCGUGGGGAGCAAACAGGAUUAGAUACCCCUGUAGUC
rnacentral:rRNA from 1 species